rnacentral:rRNA from 1 species
UACGUAGGGGGCAAGCGUUAUCCGGAAUCAUUGGGCGUAAAGAGCUCGUAGGCGGCCUGUUGCGUCCGCUGUGAAAUCCCGGGGCUCAACCCCGGGCCUGCAGUGGAUACGGGCUGGCUAGAGGCAGGCAGGGGAGAACGGAAUUCCUGGUGUAGCGGUGAAAUGCGCAGAUAUCAGGAGGAACACCGGUGGCGAAGGCGGUUCUCUGGGCCUGUACUGACGCUGAGGAGCGAAAGCGUGGGGAGCGAACAGG